UACGUAGGAGACGAGCGUUGUCCGGAGUUACUGGGCGUAAAGGGUGCGUAGGCGGGUCUUUUAAGUCAGGGGUGAAAUCCUGGAGCUCAACUCCAGAACUGCCUUUGAUACUGAGGAUCUUGAGUUCGGGAGAGGUGAGUGGAACUGCGAGUGUAGAGGUGAAAUUCGUAGAUAUUCGCAAGAACACCAGUGGCGAAGGCGGCUCACUGGCCCGAUACUGACGCUGAGGCACGGAAAGCGUGGGGAGCAAACAGG
rnacentral:rRNA from 1 species